CCCACCAGCCAGGGCCUGAAGGCUGCUUCUGAAGGCAUUAAUUUCCUGCACUUCUGACCUGCCUGAAAAGGAGCUCUGAAGACCAGAGAAAAUUCUUAGGCAAGGUGAUGUUGGUGGUGACAGUUGACAGGCAAGAAACCUUCCUUUAUAAUCCAGGUCCCUGCUACGAACCUAUUUACUUGUUCAAGAAUUCCUAAUUAACACAGCUUUGGCAUGCACUGACAGAAUCAAAUGAAGCCUUUGUUUCCAUUUGACUAGUGGGAAUUUAAAGUAUAUUUGCAUGGAUGUCUUCUGUUUCACGAGCAUCUUCAAGGGAAUUUAUCUCCCAUGCAACUGCCUGACGCUGGAUCCAGUUUGCCCUAACGCAAACUAAAAAGACCUGAGGAAGUCAUGAUUCAUCUUUUUCCAAAGAAGACCUUAUUUUUUGGUCGUUUUGUAGAUAUGCACAUAUUUGUAAAACCUCAAGUAAACAUGGAUAAAGAUGGACUUGAACUUUUACAUCGAAAAUGGAGAAAUGACUCGCAAUCUUGGAUGAUCUGAAAAUAACCUGCCAUCUAAGUGACAUUUAAAAGGGGAGGACUCUUAAACUUGUACAUUUUUCUAUUAAA